rnacentral:rRNA from 1 species
UACAGGUGGAUGAGGAGAGAAUCCUAAGGCCGACGGGAGAAGUAUUGUUAAGGAACUCGGCAAAAUGACUCCGUAACUUCGGGAGAAGGAGUGCCAUGAGAGUGGCCGCAGAGAAAUGGCCCAAGCAACUGUUUAGCAAAAACACAGGUCUAUGCAAAACCGCAAGGUGAAGUAUAUGGGCUGACGCCUGCCCGGUGCUGGAAGGUUAAGGGGAGAGGUUAGCGCAAGCGAAGCUUUGAACUUAAGCCCCAGUAAACGGCGGCCGUAACAAUAACGGUCCUAAGGUAGCGAAAUUCCUUGUCGGGUAAGUUCCGACCCGCACGAAAGGCGUAAUGAUUUGGGCACUGUCUCAACGAUACACCCGGUGAAAUUGAAAUACCAGUGAAGAUGCUGGUUACCUGCGCCAGGACGGAAAGACCCCAUGGAGCUUUACUCCAGUUUGAUACUGGGAUUCGGCAUGGUAUGUACAGGAUAGGUGGGAGACUGAGAAGGUAGGUCGUCAGUUGUACCGGAGUCGCUGUUGGGAUACCACCCUUACCAUGUUGGAUUUCUAACCUGUGGCCGUAAGCCGGUCAGGGGACAAUGUCAGGCGGGGAGUUUGACUGGGGCGGUCGCCUCCGAAAGGGUAUCGGAGGCGCUCAAAGGUUCCCUCAGAAUGGUUGGAUACCAUUCGAAGAGUGCAAAGGCAGAAGGGAGCUUGACUGUGACACCGACGGGUGGAGCAGGUACGAAAGUGGGACUUAGUGAUCCGGUGGUAUAAAGUGGGAUUGCCAUCGCUCAACGGAUAAAAGCUACCCUGGGGAUAACAGGCUUAUCACUCCCAAGAGUUCACAUCGACGGAGUGGUUUGGCACCUCAAUGUCGGCUCAUCGCAUCCUGGAGCUGUAGCAGGUUCCAAGGGUUGGGCUGUUCGCCCAUUAAAGCGGUACGCGAGCUGGGUUCAGAACGUCGUGAGACAGUUCGGUCCCUAUCCGGCGCAGGCGGAGGAAAUUUGAUAGGAGCUGUCCUUAGUACGAGAGGACCGGGAUGGACGGACCGCUGGUGUAUCUGUUGUACUGCCAAGUGCAUAGCAGAGUAGCCAAGUCUGGAAGGGAUAAACGCUGAAGGCAUCUAAGCGUGAAGCCCCCCUAAAGAUAAGAUUUCCCAUACCAUAAGGUAGUAAGGCCCCUUGAAGACGACGAGGUAGAUAGGGCAGAGGUGGAAGUACGGUAACGUAUGGAGCUGACUGUUACUAAUCGGUCGAGGCUUUAAUCAA